CUUAUUAAGAGUGGUGGAGGGAAAGGCCCUAUGAAACCCGGCAACCUAUUAAAUUAGGUGCUAAGUCCUGCAGUUUAUCUGAAAAAUAAGA
rnacentral:ncRNA from 1 species